rnacentral:rRNA from 1 species
GACGAACGCUGGCGGCGUGCUUAACACAUGCAAGUCGAACGGAAAGGCCCUGCUUUUGUGGGGUGCUCGAGUGGCGAACGGGUGAGUAACACGUGAGUAACCUGCCCUUGACUUUGCGAUAACUUCAGGAAACUUGGGCUAAUACCGGAUAGGAGCUCCUGCUGCAUGGUGGGGGUUGGAAAGUUUCGGCGGUUGGGGAUGGACUCGCGGCUUAUCAGCUUGUUGGUGGGGUAGUGGCUUACCAAGGCUUUGACGGGUAGCCGGCCGGAGAGGGUGACCGGCCACAUGGGGACUGAGAUACGGCCCAGACUCCUACGGGAGGCAGCAGUGGGGAAUAUUGCACAAUGGGAGGAAGUCUGAUGCAGCAACGCCGCGUGCGGGAUGACGGCCUUCGGGUUGUAAACAGCUUUCGACUGUGACGAAGCGUGAGUGACGGUAAUGGGUAAAGAAGCACCGGCUAACUACGUG